UACCAGCACCCCGAGUGGUCGGGACGUUUAUUGGGCCUAAAGCAUCCGUAGCCGGUUCUACAAGUCUUCCGUUAAAUCCACCUGCUUAACAGAUGGGCUGCGGAAGAUACUAUAGAGCUAGGAGGCGGGAGAGGCAAGCGGUACUCGAUGGGUAGGGGUAAAAUCCGUUGAUCCAUUGAAGACCACCAGUGGCGAAGGCGGCUUGCCAGAACGCGCUCGGACGGUGAGGGAUGAAAGCUGGGGAGCAAACCGG
rnacentral:rRNA from 1 species